UACGUAGGGUGCGAGCGUUGUCCGGAAUUAUUGGGCGUAAAGGGCGCGUAGGCGGCUUGACAAGUCAAAGGUGAAAUCCCUCGGCUCAACUGAGGAACUGCCUUUGAAACUGUCUGGCUUGAGGCCGGGAGGGGGUAGCGGAAUUCCCAGUGUAGCGGUGAAAUGCGUAGAUAUUGGGAGGAACACCAGUGGCGAAGGCGGCUACCUGGACCGGUUCUGACGCUGAUGCGCGAAAGCGUGGGGAGCAAACAGG
rnacentral:rRNA from 1 species